AUGAGAUACAUAUCAACAUCAGAAGCAUGCUGGAGGAUAUUUCAGUUUGAUCUUCAGUAUCGUGAUCCAGCAGUUGAGAGGCUACCUUUCCAUCUUGAAAAUGAGCAACAAGUCAUUUUUCCAGACUCCACUGAUCUUGAAAAGAUAGUAACAAGAGAAGUAUCUAAAAUUACCAAGUUCACUCAGUGGAUGGAGGCAAAUAAAAUAUACGAGCUAGGAAAAGAAUUGACUUACGCAGAAUUCCCUACAAAGUUUGUAUGGAAAAGUGAAACAAAAUGUUGGCAGGAGCGAAAAAGGGACUAUGCAAUUGGAAGAAUCUACUAUGCACAUCCCGCAAGUGGCGAGAAAUAUCAUAUGAGGAUGCUUCUAAACACCAAGAAAGGAUGCACAUCAUUUGAGGAUAUUAGGACCAUUGAUGGAGUCACUCACCCAACAUACAAAUCAGCAUGCCAAGCCCUCAGAUUUCUCGAUGAUGACACUAAGUGGAUUGACUGUAUCAAUGAAGCAUCAAGUUGGGCAUCCGGAACACAACUGCGUCAGUUAUUCACCACCAUAUUGUCCCAUUGCGAAGUCACAAACCCAAAGGUAUUGUGGGAUUCCACAUGGGAGGCGCUAUAUGAAGAUAUGCAAUACAAAAGAAGGACUAUUCUAAACUUUCCAGCACUUCAGCUCACCAACACGCAGAAGAAAGCGUAUGGUCUAAUUGAGAUAGAAAAACUGAUGAGGCAAGUAGGAAAGUCACUAAAGGACUAUCCAGACAUAGAACUACCAAAUGCCACAGAGCUAGACGAACUUGGGAACAGACUAAUAAAUGAAUAUGUCAACUAUGACAUGGACAAACUCAAGGAUGAACACAAAAUGAUACUAAACAAUCUUAACCAAGAACAGAAAAAAGCCUAUGAUGCAAUAAUGGAGUCAGUCGACAAAGAGCUAGGAAAGCAGAUAUUUGUCGAAGGCUAUGGUGGCACAGGAAAAACCUAUCUAUGGAAAGCAAUAACGACAAAGCUAAUAUCAGAGGGGAAGAUAGUGUUUGCGGUAGCAUCAUGUGGCAUUGCAGCGUUGCUUCUCCAAGGUGGAAGAACAGCACACUAA
rnacentral:rRNA from 1 species